rnacentral:rRNA from 1 species
AGUGAACGCUGGCGGUAGGCCUAACACAUGCAAGUCGAACGGCAGCACAGUAAGAGCUUGCUCUUACGGGUGGCGAGUGGCGGACGGGUGAGGAAUACAUCGGAAUCUACUUUUUCGUGGGGGAUAACGUAGGGAAACUUACGCUAAUACCGCAUACGACCUACGGGUGAAAGCAGGGGAUCUUCGGACCUUGCGCGAUUGAAUUAGCCGAUGUCGGAUUAGCUAGUUGGCGGGGUAAAGGCCCACCAAGGCGACGAUCCGUAGCUGGUCUGAGAGGAUGAUCGGCCACACUGGAACUGAGACACGGUCCAGACUCCUACGGGAGGCAGCAGUGGGGAAUAUUGGACAAUGGGCGCAAGCCUGAUCCAGCCAUACCGCGUGGGUGAAGAAGGCCUUCGGGUUGUAAAGCCCUUUUGUUGGGAAAGAAAAGCAGCAGGUUAAUACCCCGCUGUUCUGACGGUACCCAAAGAAUAAGCACCGGCUAACUUCGUG